rnacentral:misc_RNA from 1 species
UAAAGCUUUCUCUCACUUUCAGGACAAAAUCACAGAGAGAAAGUAAUCGACGAAGAUGGGGGACCCACUGGAGAGAUUGGGAUCCGAGACUGCCAUGGCUGGCCUCGAAUCCGCCAUCAAGGAGGACCUCUGCAUGGAGAUCGACCCGCCUUUUCGAGAGAGCGUCGCCUCUGCCGAGGACUGGCGGAGGGCUCUAAACAAGGUGGUCCCUGCUGUUGUUGUUCUCCGGACAAAUGCUUGCCGCGCAUUCGAUACUGAGUCCGCCGGUGCUAGUUAUGCUACCGGGUUUGUGGUGGAUAAGCGUCGGGGAAUCAUUCUCACUAAUCGCCACGUCGUCAAGCCCGGACCUGUUGUUGCAGAGGCUAUGUUUCUAAACCGUGAGGAAAUUCCUGUGCAUCCUAUUUAUAGGGAUCCUGUUCAUGAUUUUGGCUUCUUUCGUUACGAUCCUGGUGCAAUCCAAUUUCUGAACUAUGAGGAAAUUCCUCUUGCCCCUGAGGCUGCUUGUGUUGGACUUGAAAUCAGGGUUGUUGGUAAUGAUAGUGGUGAAAAGGUUUCUAUUUUGGCUGGUACUCUUGCUCGUUUGGAUAGAGACGCACCUCACUACAAAAAGGAUGGGUAUAAUGACUUCAAUACAUUCUACAUGCAAGCUGCAUCUGGGACUAAGGGUGGUUCAAGUGGUUCACCAGUAAUUGAUUGGCAAGGCAGGGCAGUGGCCUUGAAUGCUGGCAGCAAGUCUUCUAGUGCUUCUGCAUUUUUCUUACCUUUAGAACGAGUUGUUAGGUCUCUAAGAUUUCUUCAGAAGGGAAGAGAUUCUUAUACAAAUAGAUGGGAGGCUGUUCCUAUACCUCGUGGUACGCUCCAGGUUACAUUUCUCCAUAAAGGAUUUGAUGAGACACGCCGACUCGGUCUUCGUAGUGAAACAGAACAGAUGGUACGGCAUGCAUCUCCCGCUGGGGAAACUGGAAUGCUUGUUGUUGAUUCUGUGGUGCCAGGUGGCCCAGCUCAUAUACAGUUGGAGCCAGGUGAUGUGCUUAUUCGUGUGAAUGGCGAAGUAACUACACAAUUUCUGAAAUUGGAGACUUUGCUUGAUGACUGUGUUAACCAUAAAAUUGAGUUACAAAUUGAAAGAGGCGGCACUUCCUUGACUGUAAACUUGGUGGUUCAGGAUUUACAUUCUAUAACACCUGACUAUUUCUUAGAAGUAAGUGGUGCAGUGAUACAUCCUCUGUCUUACCAACAGGCCAGAAAUUUCCGUUUCCAGUGUGGUCUGGUGUAUGUUUCGGAACCUGGAUAUAUGCUAUUUAGAGCUGGAGUUCCUCGCCAUGCAAUCAUCAAGAAGUUUGCUAAUGAGGAGAUAUCACAGCUGGAUGAACUAAUCUCUGCUCUAUCUAAGUUAUCUAGGGGUGCAAGAGUACCAUUAGAAUACAUAAGCUACGUGGAUCGUCAUCGAAGGAAGUCUGUCCUGGUUACAGUUGAUCGCCAUGAAUGGUAUGCCUCUCCACAGAUAUACACUCGUGAUGACAGAUCUGGUUUGUGGACAGCAAAGCCUGCUAUUCAAUCUGAGUCCUGGAGGCUAUCAUCUUCUAUUAAUGAUAUUGGACAAGGCCCAACUAGGCAAACUGUUUUGCUGGGUGGAGAAGCAACUCAUAUAGAAAAUGUAAAUCAAGAUGACAACCCAGAAAUGGCUGAUGGUGUUGCAAGUAUGGAAACCAGUUCUGAACAUUCUUCUGGGGAGCCACAUUCCCGGGAUGAAUCUGAUGUUGGAACAAAGAAACGAAGGGUAUCAGAUUUGCCUGCCAAUGGAAUUGCUGUUGCUGAUGGUUCCAUACAGCAUGAAACUGGAGAAGUGAAGUUGGACAAUCCAAGUCCCAUCGAGAAUGAAGUUUUAAGAGACUAUCAAGGUGCAAUUGCACCAGCAGUCAAUGCUUCAUUUGCAGAAAGUGUGAUAGAGCCCACUCUUGUAUUGUUUGAGGUUCAUGUUCCACCAUCAGUUAUGAUUGAUGGUGUCCAUUCGCAACAUUUCUUUGGGACUGGUGUUAUUAUUUAUCAUUCUCAAGAUAUGGGAUUGGUUGCAGUUGAUAGGAAUACAGUUGCAAUAUCUGCAUCAGAUGUGAUGCUGUCCUUUGCUGCUUUUCCUAUUGAAAUUCCUGGGGAGGUUGUUUUUCUUCAUCCUGUCCACAAUUAUGCUCUCAUUGCUUAUGACCCGUCGGCCCUAGGAGCUGCUGGUUCCUCAAUGGUUCGAGCUGCUGAAUUGCUUCCUGAGCCAGCAUUGCGUCGUGGGGAUUCGGUCUAUCUUGUGGGGUUAAGUAGAAGCCUGCAAGCAACAUCUAGGAAAUCCAUUGUGACGAACCCUUUUGCUGCUCCUAGGUUGAAUAUUGGCUCAGCUGAUUGCCCACGUUAUAGAGCAACAAAUAUGGAAGUCAUAGAACUCGAUACUGAUUUUGGGAGCACAUUUUCAGGUGUGCUAACUGAUGAGCAUGGAAGGGUUCAAGCCAUCUGGGGAAGCUUCUCAACUCAGUUGAAAUAUGGUUUCAGUACCUCAGAAGAUCAUCAAUUUGUUAGAGGCAUCCCUAUUUAUACAAUCAGUCAAGUUCUUGACAAAAUUGUAAAUGGUGCAAAUGGCCCACCUCUACUCAUAAAUGGUGUCAGAAGGCCAAUGCCACUUGUCAGGAUUAUGGAGGUUGAGCUUUAUCCUACUCUGCUUUCAAAGGCACGGAGUUUUGGUUUGAGCGAUAAUUGGGUCCAAGCUCUUGUCAAGAAAGAUCCAAUUAGACGACAAGUUUUGCGUGUCAAAGGCUGCUUGGCUGGAUCAAAAGCUGAAAAUCUAUUGGAGCAAGGGGACAUGGUUUUGGCAGUCAACAAAGAGCCUGUCACUUGCUUCCGUGAUAUAGAAAAUGCUUGCCAAGCUUUAGACAAGAUCAGCGACAAUGAAGGGAAACUUAGCAUGACCAUUUUUCGACAGGGACGUGAAAUUGAUCUUGUUGUGGGAACAGAUGUUAGGGAUGGGAAUGGUACAACACGUGUAAUAAAUUGGUGUGGUUGCAUUGUUCAGGAUCCUCAUCCAGCGGUUCGUGCUCUUGGAUUUCUUCCUGAAGAGGGUCAUGGUGUGUAUGUGGCUCGGUGGGGUC